rnacentral:rRNA from 1 species
ACGAACGCUGGCGGCGUGCCUAAUACAUGCGAGUCGAACGAGCUCUCCUAAAUUGAUUUUAUGCUUGCAUAAAUGAUUUUUAGAUUCGGAGCGAGUGGCGAACUGGUGAGUAACACGUGGGUAACCUGCCCCGAAGCGGGGGAUAACAUUUGGAAACAAAUGCUAAUACCGCAUAAUUAGUUGGAACCGCAUGGUUCCAACUUGAAAGAUGGCUCUGCUAUCACUUUGGGAUGGACCCGCGCCGUAUUAGUUAGUUGGUGAGAUAAAAGCCCACCAAGACGAUGAUACGUAGCCGACCUGAGAGGGUAAUCGGCCACAUUGGGACUGAGACACGGCCCAGACUCCUACGGGAGGCAGCAGUAGGGAAUCUUCCACAAUGGACGAAAGUCUGAUGGAGCAACGCCGCGUGAGUGAUGAAGGUUUUCGGAUCGUAAAACUCUGUUGUUAAAGAAGAACAAGUGUUAGAGUAACUGUUAACACUUUGACGGUAUUUAACCAGAAAGCCACGGCUAACUACGUGCCAGCAGCCGCGGUAAUACGUAGGUGGCAAGCGUUGUCCGGAUUUAUUGGGCGUAAAGCGAGCGCAGGCGGUUUUGUAAGUCUGCUGUGAAAGCCCUCAGCUCAACUGAGGAAGUGCAGUGGAAACUACAAAACUUGAGUACAGAAGAGGAAAGUGGAACUCCAUGUGUAGCGGUGAAAUGCGUAGAUAUAUGGGAAGAACACCAGUGGCGAAGGCGGCUUUCUGGUCUGUUACUGACGCUGAGGCUCGAAAGCAUGGGUAGCGAAACAGGAUUAGAUACCCCUGGUAGUCCAUGCCGUAAACGAUGAAUACUAGGUGUUGGAGGGUUUCCGCCCCUUCAGUGCCGCAGCUAACGCAUUAAGUAUUCCGCCUGGGGAGUACGACCGCAAGGUUGAAACUCAAAGGAAUUGACGGGGGCCCGCACAAGUGGUGGAGCAUGUGGUUUAAUUCGAUGCUACGCGAAGAACCUUACCAGCUCUUGACAUCUUCUGCCAACCCAAGAGAUUGGGCGUUCCCUUCGGGGACAGAAUGACAGGUGGUGCAUGGUUGUCGUCAGCUCGUGUCGUGAGAUGUUGGGUUAAGUCCCGCAACGAGCGCAACCCUUAUUAUUAGUUGCCAGCAUUUAGUUGGGCACUCUAGUGAGACUGCCGGUGAUAAACCGGAGGAAGGUGGGGACGACGUCAAAUCAUCAUGCCCCUUAUGAGCUGGGCUACACACGUGCUACAAUGGAUGGUACAACGAGUCGCGAAACCGCGAGGUCAAGCUAAUCUCUUAAAGCCAUUCUCAGUUCGGAUUGCAGGCUGCAACUCGCCUGCAUGAAGUUGGAAUCACUAGUAAUCGUGGAUCAGCAUGCCACGGUGAAUACGUUCCCGGGCCUUGUACACACCGCCCGUCA